rnacentral:lncRNA from 1 species
UUCACCUCACUAAAUGCCAAAAUUCUUGACUGAUAUUUCAAAGUAUUUGGUUAUAAAUUCAAAACAGCUGGUUGUUCUUUCUCACAACAAAAAAAAAACAAUUGUUCUUCCUAUUUUCUCUGCACUAACCUAUUCUGCAGAUUGCUCUCAAGCCAUGGAAUCAACUCCUCCCUCCUCCAAGAGAAUGAAGACUAGAGCAAUGAGAAGGAGUGGAAAACUGGAGAGCUGGUUCUCAAGUGAUCCAGAUUUGAUAAACAAAUAC